UGCAAGUCGAGCGGUAAGGCCUUUCGGGGUACACGAGCGGCGAACGGGUGAGUAACACGUGGGUGAUCUGCCCUGCACUUCGGGAUAAGCCUGGGAAACUGGGUCUAAUACCGGAUAUGACCUCAGGUUGCAUGACUUGGGGUGGAAAGAUUUAUCGGUGCAGGAUGGGCCCGCGGCCUAUCAGCUUGUUGGUGGGGUAAUGGCCUACCAAGGCGACGACGGGUAGCCGACCUGAGAGGGUGACCGGCCACACUGGGACUGAGACACGGCCCAGACUCCUACGGGAGGCAGCAGUGGGGAAUAUUGCACAAUGGGCGAAAGCCUGAUGCAGCGACGCCGCGUGAGGGAUGACGGCCUUCGGGUUGUAAACCUCUUUCAGCAGGGACGAAGCGCAAGUGACGGUACCUGCAGAAGAAGCACCGGCUAACUACGUGCCAGCAGCCGCGGUAAUACGUAGGGUGCAAGCGUUGUCCGGAAUUACUGGGCGUAAAGAGUUCGUAGGCGGUUUGUCGCGUCGUUUGUGAAAACCAGCAGCUCAACUGCUGGCUUGCAGGCGAUACGGGCAGACUUGAGUACUGCAGGGGAGACUGGAAUUCCUGGU
rnacentral:rRNA from 1 species